rnacentral:rRNA from 1 species
UACGUAGGGCGCAAGCGUUGUCCGGAAUUAUUGGGCGUAAAGAGCUCGUAGGCGGCUUGUCACGUCGGUUGUGAAAGCCCGGGGCUUAACCCCGGGUCUGCAGUCGAUACGGGCUAGCUAGAGUGUGGUAGGGGAGAUCGGAAUUCCUGGUGUAGCGGUGAAAUGCGCAGAUAUCAGGAGGAACACCGGUGGCGAAGGCGGAUCUCUGGGCCAUUACUGACGCUGAGGCACGAAAGCGUGGGGAGCAAACAGG